rnacentral:rRNA from 1 species
CAGUCGCCACGGUAAUACAGAGGGUGCGAGCGUUAAUCGGAAUUACUGGGCGUAAAGCGUGCGCAGGCGGUUAUAUAAGACAGAUGUGAAAUCCCCGGGCUCAACCUGGGAACUGCAUUUGUGACUGUAUAGCUAGAGUACGGCAGAGGGGGAUGGAAUUCCGCGUGUAGCAGUGAAAUGCGUAGAUAUGCGGAGGAACACCGAUGGCGAAGGCAAUCCCCUGGGCCUGUACUGACGCUCAUGCACGAAAGCGUGGGGAGCAAACAGGAUUAGAUACCCCUGUAGUCCCUGUCUCUUAUAA